UACGAAGGGGGCUAGCGUUGCUCGGAAUCACUGGGCGUAAAGGGUGCGUAGGCGGGUCUUUAAGUCAGAGGUGAAAUCCUGGAGCUCAACUCCAGAACUGCCUUUGAUACUGAGGAUCUUUGAGUUCGGGAGAGGUGAGUGGAAAUUCCGAGUGUAGAGGUGAAAUUCGUAGAUAUUCGGAAGAAACACCAGUGGCGAAGGCGGCUCACUGGACAU
rnacentral:rRNA from 1 species